CGGCCAACGUUGCCUGAGCACCUUCGGGAAAUCCUCCAGCCGUAUCUUUCGUGUUCGCACAGCCACCUGUCUCUGCCAGUGGAGAACGCACGACAAGAUGGUGCUUGGCAGAGUAUGAUGGCUCCACCCACUUUGGCUUGCAUGAAGCACUCAAUCAUCUCCACAUAUACAAAACGUCUGGGGCCGUGAGCAGUACAUUCACUUUACGAAGGACUUCUGACACAUUGCUGUCAACGGAUGCAGAAGUACAGUAAUUGAGCUCAAAUUAAUUGAGCAGGGCUGGAGAAGAGUGGUGUUCCAGCACCGAUGCUAAGCAAUGAUACAUUUGGACCAAUCAAACUAGCGUGCCAUAAAUGGUAGCUGAAAUUCAUUCAAAACGUGAAGUUUUCAAAUGAUUUUCAUUGAUUCUCUGUAGAAUUUACUUAUUUUUAAUUUGUUCUUUUUUUUUGCUUAAAGAAUAAUUUCUGCCAUGUUGUGUUGUCCAUUUAUUGGAGUGUGAAUAUAGCAGUACAUUAAUAAAAAAUAUGAAACGUACAAUACGACUGUACAUUUUAAUUUAAUUGCCCCCUGCCCCUCAGUCUGGCAGCUCACAUCUAUUAGACAGGGAAACUUAUGAAACGGCCUACAAAAAGAAGCCAGUCAUUAACAUGUAGCAGCUAAUUACCAGCCCGUUGGAGACCUGAGCCUGUGUGAUAACUCAAUUUGCAUUUUAACAGACCAUGAAUACG